CGAAAUUGAUAGUUGAACCGCCCUUUCUGAUCUGAUUCAGGUUUCAAGGUUUAGAGAGGGGAUUGAAACCGUUAAUCCAAACGGAUUCCAGAUCUAAUCCAAAUUGGUCCCAAUCCAGUUGAGGGCUGAACCGGCCGUGGCAUGGACUCAUGGUGAUGCAGCAAAGCUUGACCCAUCGUGAUAUUUUACGCGUGGCUAUAACGGCGUUUUUCAUAAACAAACAAGUAACGGCAAAUUAGUCAAGUCUCGGUUAGACUUCACAUCAUUUCGUAACUAUUCAUUGGUUCACAAUCGCGCGAAACAUGCGCUUUUAAAAAUGGCUAUGGCUGGAUUGUACCGUCGACUCCUCCCUUCACCUCCUGCUACCAAUUUCGCUUCCUCUGAAGGAAAGGACCUUGGAGGUGGUUUGAAGAAUCCAUGUUAGGUUUGCUGUGAACAAUUAGAAAAGGUUAAAGCUAAGGGCAUCUCAUUUGGGAAGCUUGUAUGUUUGGCUCACUGUACUGGGGCAAAAGUUGAAGCUUAACGUGCAAAUCAGAGCAACAUUGAUGAAUUUUAUAGGGACUGGUCAUUUUUCACCGAUUGGUGGACUGGUCAUUUUUCACCCAUUGGUGGUUAUCAUGCUGGAAGGGACAUGGCAUUGAUUUUGGAUGUUGCACGCUUCAAGUAUCCUCCACAUUGGGUUCCACUAACACUUCUGUGGGAAGCUAUGAAUAAUAUUGAUGAGACAACUGGGAAAAACAAAGGGUUCAUUUUUAAAUUGAGGUCUCAUCCAGAAUCUGGACUGCUUUAUAGCUUGAAGUGCGGAGAAUCAAGGAUGGUGGGGGAAAGUCUAAGCCAAGAGGAGAAAUUAAAGAUUGUUGUUAAGGAAGGGGUUUUAAAACAGGUGCAGGAAACUGGACUUUUUAAAAAUGUUGCAGGAUUUUUGUCUUCGGCAAACUCAUGUUGCAAAAGUGUGCCAAUCUUAAGUCUAGAAGAUGACCUUCCUCGUAUUGCUGCAGGUAUCUGUGCCAAGGGGCAGAGAUUUUGGCAGGAAAGUUCAGUUCUUCAGGACUUUAUUGUAGGGAAACUUGUGUGAGGUGUUUGAAGACCACUGAUGACAAGCCUGUUAGUACAGUUUUAGACGGUGGAAGUAAGCAGAGGCUGACGUGCUGUUCCUUCUCAAAUGUAAACUGAGUUUCUGUAGCUGUGGCCCAAGUAAUUGCAUUGGGAUUUAUCCAGCUAGAAAUGAUGUUCUUACAGCACUUCUACUGGUUUGCCUCCUGAAGCAUGGUCAGGUAUCAAAGUGGGGAAACUUUGCAAGAAAUAUACACUCUUGUUUCAACCCAGAAUCUUCCAGUUUUACUUCAAGAGCAAGUGUUGCAUCUAGACGUCAAUUCUAGCUUCUUAAGAGAUGCCAAGAGAAUAAGGUGGAUGGGGAUCUCGGUGCACCUCUUUCCUGGUACGCAAGUAAUUUCCAUGUAAAUUCACUAUUUUUGUAAGCCAAGAGUUGCAUUAUUUGUGGAUAUGAGAAUCGUAUAAUUGAUGCAAAUACAAGAGAUUUGUACAGCUUUUUCUAGGUUAUAAGCCACAAAGCAAACCAAAUAUACCUUUAACAAAACUGAAAUAUAUUUGUGAAGAUGCCCGAUUUAUCUCCAAGUGACCAAAACCACAUGAUAAAGAAGAAGUGUUCUACCAAGAAUAAUGUAGCACUUUUAGGAAAGAUUUGAGGAUGAUCUUCAAGAAACUCGAAUAUUGUUGAAAAGUAAA